rnacentral:misc_RNA from 1 species
CAACCCUCAAGCUUUACCUAGUGAAGCUUGGUGUUGGGGAUCGGCAGCUUCGCCGUCCCCUAAAAGUAUUGGCGGCCCUUCGAGGCGACCUCUGCGUAGUAACUUACCUCGCACUGGGAAGCUUGGAGCGGCCACGCCGUAAAACCCCCAACUUUAUAA